rnacentral:piRNA from 1 species
UGCCAUCCUGUGGCUCUCCUAGUGUGAGCUCU